AUUGAACGCUGGCGGCAUGCUUUACACAUGCAAGUCGAACGGUAACAGGCCGUCGGGUGCUGACGAGUGGCGGACGGGCGGGUAAUUCAUCGGAACGUGCCCAGAGGUGGGGGAUAACGCAGCGAAAGCAGAGCGAAGACCGCACGUGAUCUGAGGAUGAAAGCGGGGGACGAGGCAGCAAUGUUUGGCCGGGCGGCGUUGGAGCGGCCGAUGUCUGGUUGGGUGGUUGGGGGGGGAAAGGCCUACCAAGCCGACGAUCGGUGGCCGGUCUGAGAGGACGGUCAGCCACCCUGGGACUGAGCCACGGCCCAGACUCCUACGGGACGCACCAGUGUGCAAUUUUGGACAGUGGGCGCAAGCCUGAUCCAGCGAUGCCGCGUGUGAGAAGAAGGCCUUCCGGUUGUGAUCAGCUUUUGUACGUUGCGAACCGGCUCUGGCUAAUACCUGGCGCUGAUGACGGUACCGUAAGAAUAAGCACCGGCUAACUACGUG
rnacentral:rRNA from 1 species